rnacentral:rRNA from 1 species
GACGAACGCUGGCGGCGCGCUUAACACAUGCAAGUCGAGCGAUGAAACUUUAACAGAACCCUUCGGGGCGAAGAUAAAGGGGAUUAGCGGCGGACGGUUGAGUAACACGGGAGUAACCUUCCUUAGACAUUGGUAUAGCCUCUGGAAACCGGGAUUAAUACCAAAUAAAAUCAUAAUGACACAUUUCAUAACUAUCAAAACUCCGGUGGUCUAAGAUGGACGCUCGUCACAUUAUCUAGUUGGUAGAGUAAAAGCAUGCCAAGGCGACGAUGGGUAGCCGGCCGGAGAGCGUGAAAGGGCACAUUGGAGAUGAGACACAGACCACAAUGCUACGGAAGGGAGCAGUGGGGAAUACUGCAGACUGAAGGGAAAUCCAGCGACGCGGCGCGGCGUGAAAGAAGAAGGCUUUUGAGAAGCAAAGUUCUCUGAUAUGGGAAGAUAAUGACGGUAAUAUAAGAAAAAGCACCGGCUAACUACGUG